rnacentral:rRNA from 1 species
UGGGGAAUUUUGGACAAUGGGGGAAACCCUGAUCCAGCCAUCCCGCGUGUGCGAUGAAGGCCUUCGGGUUGUAAAGCACUUUUGGCAGGAAAGAAACGUCAUGGGUUAAUACCCCGUGAAACUGACGGUACCUGCAGAAUAAGCACCGGCUAACUACGUGCCAGCAGCCGCGGUAAUACGUAGGGUGCAAGCGUUAAUCGGAAUUACUGGGCGUAAAGCGUGCGCAGGCGGUUCGGAAAGAAAGAUGUGAAAGCCCAGAGCUCAACUUUGGAACUGCAUUUUUAACUACCGGGCUAGAGUGUGUCAGAGGGAGGUGGAAUUCCGCGUGUAGCAGUGAAAUGCGUAGAUAUGCGGAGGAACACCGAUGGCGAAGGCAGCCUCCUGGGAUAACACUGACGCUCAUGCACGAAAGCGUGGGGAGCAAACAGG